rnacentral:rRNA from 1 species
GACGGAGGAGGCUAGCGUUGUUCGGAAUUACUGGGCGUAAAGCGUGCGCAGGUUGUGAGUCUAGUUGGAUGUGAAAGCCCGGGGCUUAACCUCGGAUGUGCAUCCAAAACUGGCUCGCUGGAGGUUGGAAGAGGAGAGUGGAAUUCCCAGUGUAGAGGUGAAAUUCGUAGAUAUUGGGAAGAACACCAGUGGCGAAGGCGGCUCUCUGGUCCAUACCUGACACUCAUGCACGAAAGCGUGGGGAGCAAACAGG